GAUAAAGAAAAUUUGGUACCGGGACAAAGCCAGCAGCUGGAGUUGCCAAAUGUACCGAUUAUAAUAAAAGAGUAUAAUCCACCAGCUCACUAGAGUUCACACGAUACGAAAAUGCAAGAGAGCAUAAGUAUAUUAUUACGGAUGCAGGCGGCGUCAAACCUCAAAUUGAAAGAUUUAAAACAGCGUAUAAUCAACAUAGAAGAUUUGUUAAAACAGAGAACACCAACGGUUCCAGAAAGCGAUAACUUAAUCGCACACUUCUUGCCUCCUGAUUCUGUGGAAAUGAUUAGAGAAUUGGACUCGAAAUUAAAAUCAUGUGAUGAAGCUGUCACG